rnacentral:lncRNA from 10 species
GGCAAUGGAAGCACUAAAGAUAACGAGUUGUAAUUACAUGAAUAGGAGUUGCUCCAAGUUCAUAACCUGGAAGAAAUGACGACGAUGCCCCUAAUGAAAAUCAGUCUAUUAGGCCAGCAAGAUUUUAAUAAGAGAAGGAUGAAAAAAACCUACCUAUCAGUUUGGCUCAUGGAAAUAAGCCCUAUUGACUGCUGUGGUCUAAACGUUGGUGUCCCCCACCCAAAUUCAUAUGUUGGCACCUAAAAGGAACCAAAUAUGUUCACUCCAACCUCUUGAAUGGAAUUAGUACUUUUAUAAAAGGGGCCUGAGAGAGCUCCCUUGCCCCUUCCAUCAUGUGAGGAUGCAGCAGCAAGAUGCCAUCUAUGGAGCAGACAGCAAGCCCUUACCAUACACUCAAUCUGCCAGUGCCUUGAUCUUGGACUUCACAGCCUCCAGAACUGUGAGCAAUAAAUAUCUGUUGUUUAUUUACCCAGCUUAAUGUAUUUUGUUGUAGUAAUCUGAAUGGGCUAAGAUACCCUAUUUUACCAAUACUCUGAGAAUUAAAUAAAAGAAUAAAUGCAGAAUUACUUAAAAAUACAAAUAAACACUUAGAAGCAAGCCAUUAUUAGUA